GAGGGAAAAGAGAGAGAGGUCGAUCGACAGGGAAGGAGGGAGAGUGAAGAAAUUGAAGGAGAGAUCGAGAGCGAAAGUAGAAGAAGCGUGUGAGUGAAGAAGAUCUUACCGAGCUAGGAGAAGAUGGAGACUGAAGAUAUAGUAAGACAUGAGAUAGAACCAAAACCCCAGCCAGUGGGACCAUAUCUAGGGGAAACGAAUUAACAAGAAACUGGAUGCAUGUUGGAUUAUACUGAAUAUUCAUUCAUUUUAUGUCUCGAUAGUAAAUAAGAACUUUUUUUAUUUAUUUUUCAUUUGCUACCUUGAUAUGGUUGAAUUGUAAAACGAGUUGUGAAGAUUUUAUUAAAUACACUUGAUAAUUGUAAUGCAUAAAAGAAGAUUGGUUUUAAA